rnacentral:rRNA from 1 species
AGUGGAUGGGGAGCAACCUAGUUGUGCGUGUGUAAAGGUAGUGCCAAGAAAAGCGGUGAUCAUGAUGAAAAUCAAUUCCCGGUACCCGAAACCGACACAGGUGGGCAAGUAGAGAAUACUAAGGGGCGCGAGGUAACUCUCUCCAAGGAACUCGGCAAAAUGACCCCGUAACUUAGGGAGAAGGGGUGCCACCGAGAGGUGGUCGCAGUGAAGAGGCCCAGGCGACUGUUUAGCAAAAACAUAGGUCUCUGCAAACUCGAAAGAGGAGGUAUAGGGGCUGACGCCUGCCCAGUGCCGGAAGGUUAAAGAAGUUGGUCAGUCUUAGGAUAAAGCUAGCGACUGAAGCCCCGGUGAACGGCGGCCGUAACUAUAACGGUCCUAAGGUAGCGAAACUCCUUGUCGGGUAAGUUCCGACCCGCACGAAAGGCGUAACGAUCUGGGCGCUGUCUCGGAGAGAGGCUCGGCGAAAUAGGAUUGUCUGUGAAGAUACGGACUACCUGCAUUUGGACAGAAAGACCCUAUGAAGCUUUACUAUAGCUUGGAAUUGUGUUCGGGCUUCCUGUGCGCAGGAUAGGUGGGAGGCGAAGAAGGUAUUCUUGUGGGGAUACUGGAGCCAACGGUGAGAUACCACUCUCAGGAGGCUAGAAUUCUAACUUAAUUAAGGACAGUUUCAGGUGGGUAGUUUGACUGGGGCGGUCGCCUCCAAAAAGGUAACGGAGGCGUACAAAGGUUCCCUCAGACUGGUUGGAAAUCAGUCGCAGAGUGCAAAGGCAGAAGGGAGCUUGACUGCGAGAAGUACAGUUCGAGCAGGGUGGAAACACGGUCUUAGUGAUCCGACGGUGCUGUGUGGAAGGGCCGUCGCUCAACGGAUAAAAGUUACUCUAGGAUAACAGGCUGAUCUCCCCCAAGAGUUCACAUCGACGGGGAGGUUUGGCACCUCGAUGUCGGCUCAUCGCAACCUGGGGCGGAAGUACGUCCCAAGGGUUGGGCUGUUCGCCCAUUAAAGCGGUACGUGAGCUGGGUUCAGAACGUCGUGAGACAGUUCGGUCCAUAUCCGAUGUAGGCGUGAGAAUAUUGAGAGGAGCCUUCCUUAGUACGAGAGGACCGGGAAGGACGCACCGCUGGUGUACCUGUUAUGAUGCCAAUUGUAAACGCAGGGUAGCCAAGUGCGGAGAGGAUAACCGCUGAAAGCAUCUAAGUGGGAAGCCCACCUCAAGAUGAGUAUUCUGGUGUAAGGUCACGGGAAGACGACCCGUAAAUAGGCACGAGGUGGAAGUGCAGAGAUGUAUGAAGCCGAAGUGUACUAAUAGACCGUCGGCUUGACC